rnacentral:rRNA from 1 species
GAUGAACGCUGGCGGCGUGCCUAAUACAUGCAAGUCGAGCGAAUGGAUUAAGAGCUUGCUCUUAUGAAGUUAGCGGCGGACGGGUGAGUAACACGUGGGUAACCUGCCCAUAAGACUGGGAUAACUCCGGGAAACCGGGGCUAAUACCGGAUAACAUUUUGAACCGCAUGGUUCGAAAUUGAAAGGCGGCUUCGGCUGUCACUUAUGGAUGGACCCGCGUCGCAUUAGCUAGUUGGUGAGGUAACGGCUCACCAAGGCAACGAUGCGUAGCCGACCUGAGAGGGUGAUCGGCCACACUGUGACUGGGACACGGCCCAGACUCCUACGGGAGGCAGCAGUAGGGAAGCUUCCGCAAUGGACGAAAGUCUGACGGAGCAACGCCGCGUGAGUGAUGAAGGCUUUCGGGUUGUAAAACUCUGUUGUUAGGGAAGAACAAGUGCUAGUUGAAUAAGCUGGCACCUUGACGGUACCUAACCAGAAAGCCACGGCUAACUACGUGCCAGCCGCCGCGGUAA